GAAAUGCAAUAAGUAGUGUGAAUUGCAGAAUUUAGUAAAUUAUCAAAUCUUUAAACGCACAUUGCGCCCUUUAGUAUUCCUUAGGGCAUGCCUGUUUAAGCGUUAUUUAACCCCUUAAGCUUAGCUUAGUGUUAGGCGUCCUGUCCCCUCUACCCCCUGUAAUAGGGGGUAGGGACUCGCCUCAAAUCAAUUAGCGGCUAGUACGUUGGCUUUAAGCGCAGCAGAAACACAAACUUAGGGCCUAGCAAGCUAGCUCCUACAAGCUACACAUCUAACUUUUAACCUCAGAUUAGGUAGGGAUACCUGCUAAACUUAA
rnacentral:misc_RNA from 1 species